rnacentral:rRNA from 1 species
GAUCCUGGCUCAGAGUGAACGCUGGCGGCAGGCCUAAUACAUGCAAGUCGAACGGCAGCACAGCAGAGCUUGCUCUGUGGGUGGCGAGUGGCGGACGGGUGAGGAAUACAUGGGAAUCUGCCCAGUCGUGGGGGAUAACGUAGGGAAACUUACGCUAAUACCGCAUGCGCCCUUCGGGGGAAAGCCGGGGACCUUCGGGCCUGGCGCGAUUGGAUGAGCCCAUGUCGGAUCAGCUAGCUGGCGGGGUAAUGGCCCACCAAGGCGACGAUCCGUAGCUGGUCUGAGAGGAUGAUCAGCCACACUGGAACUGAGACACGGUCCAGACUCCUACGGGAGGCAGCAGUAGGGAAUAUUGGACAAUGGGCGCAAGCCUGAUCCAGCCAUGCCGCGUGAGUGAAGAAGGCCCUCGGGUUGUAAAGCUCUUUUGUCCGGAAAGAAAAGCGCCGGGUUAAUACCCUGGUGUCCUGACGGUACCGGAAGAAUAAGCACCGGCUAACUUCGUG